GGAAGCGUGCCAGAGCGGCCGAAUGGGACACACUGCUAAUGUGUUGUGCUCGUCAAGGGCACCGAGGGUUCAAAUCCCUCCGCUUCCGC
rnacentral:tRNA from 1 species